rnacentral:rRNA from 1 species
AGGCCGUCCGAGUUGUAAUCUAGAGAAGCGUCUUCCGCGCUGGACCGUGUAUAAGUUUCCUGGAACGGAACGUCGUAGAGGGUGAGAAUCCCGUCUUUGACACGGACUACCAGGGCUAUGUGAUGCGCUCUCGACGAGUCGAGUUGUUUGGGAAUGCAGCUCAAAUAGGGUGGUAAAUUCCAUCUAAAGCUAAAUACAGGCGAGAGACCGAUAGCGAACAAGUACCGUGAGGGAAAGAUGAAAAGAACUUUGGAAAGAGAGUUAAACAGUACGUGAAAUUGCUGAAAGGGAAACGCUUGAGGUCAGUCGCGUCGUCCGGGGAUCAGUCUCGCUCUUUUGCUUGGCGUACUUCCUGGUCGACGGGUCAGCAUCGGUUUCGACCGUCGGAAAAGGGCCUGAGGAAUGUGGCACUCUUCGGAGUGUGUUAUAGACUCGGGUCGAAUACGAUGAUUGGGACCGAGGAACUCAGUACGACCUUCGGGUUCGGAGCUUCGGCUCACGUUAACGUGCUUAGGAUGCUGGCAUAAUGGCCUUAAGCGACCCGUCUUGAAACACGGACCAAGGAGUCUAACCCGCGUGCGAGUGUUUGGGUGUUUAAAACCCGAGCGCGUAAUGAAAGUGAAAGUCGAGACCUCUGUCGUGGAGGGCACCGACGCCCGGACCUAAGCUUCUGCGAAGGAUCUGCGGUAGAGCAUGUGAGUUGGGACCCGAAAGAUGGUGAACUAUGCCUGAAUAGGGUGAAGCCAGAGGAAACUCUGGU